CUGGGCCGGGAGCCGGGGAGCCCCGAUCCCUCCCCGUGGCCCUAGGGGGGGGGCGCUGGGCCGGGAGCCGGGGAGCCCCGACCCCCCCCCCCGUGGCCCUAGGGGGGGUCGCUGGGUCGGGAGCCGGGGAGCCCCGACCCCCCCCGUGGCCCUAGAGGGGGGGCGCUGGGCCGGGAGCCGGGGAGCCCCAAUCCCCCCUCGUGGCCCUAGGGGGGGGCGCUGGGCCGGGAGCCGGGGAGCCCCAAUCCCCCCCCGUGGCCCUAGGGGAGGGGGCGCUGGGCCGGGAGCCGGGGAGCCCUGAUCCCCCCCCCGUGGCCCUAGGGGAGGGGCCCUGGGCCGGGAGCCCCAAUGCCCCCCCCAUCUCCUAUAGGCCUCAGGGCACCAUGCCCCAGACAGCAGCUGCCCUUUCCCUGCUGUGUACCCACAUAAAUCCCUUAACCCCUGUUCCAGCCACUUAACCCGCCAGCCCACACUCCCCUCCCGGAACCGGGGAGAGAACCCAGGAGUCCUGAGUCCCAGACCCCCCCUGCUCUAACCACUAGACCCCAUCCCCUCCCAGAGACAGGGAGAGAACCCAGGAGUCCUGGGUCCCAGACCCCCCCUGCUCUAACCACUAGACCCCAUCCCCUCCCAGAGACAGGGAGAGAACCCAGGAGUCCUGGGUCCCAGACCCCCCGCCCCAAUUGCCCCUGUACCGUGUGUGGCCGGGAUAAGACCUCUUUAGGGGCUGGGGCUGUUGAAUGAACGCCCCCCCCCCUUCACAGACUGCACCCUCCUUAACGAAGGCUUUAUCAUGAAAUGACUGAUGAUUAAUUACUCGCCCUUUUGGGGCUGGAUUGGAGCCAGCGCCCCCUAGAGGGGAAAGGCCCCGUGUCCCAUAUCCUGGGGCGGGGGGGGGGGGGAAUUAGCCGCUCUGGUCUCCGAUUGGCCGGCCCGUCUGUCCGUCCCCCCCCCCCCCCCGCUCCCAUCCUAGCGACGGAGGAGGAGGUGGAAGGUUACCGGGACAGCAAACCCCGUUGCCUUGGCGACCCCCCGUUGCUAACCCCGGCAGCAUCGGGUACCAUUGGGGGGGGGCGGUCGGAGCAGCGCCGGAGGCCGGGACACCGCAGGGUGGCGAGAUGACACCCCUACCUCAUACCUCCCACCGUGGCCAAGGAGCGGAUGGAAACCUCCUCCCCAUGCAAAGGCCGGAGGGAAACUGAGGCACGCAGCGGCAAAAGACGACGGCAGCUUCCCCCUUCAUCCCAGCCCCUUUCACCGGGGUGGGGCUGUGGGGCGGAAACGCCCGUUUCCCGAUCCUUGUGUCCCGCGUAAUCCAUUGCGAUGCCUGUGGGCUAGCAACAGACAGCUGCACCCGUGCCAGCCCGGGUCGAGCCUGAGCCACAUCGGCCUCAAAGGAGAGCAGGGUCUUCCGGCAGGACCCUGUUCUGGGCAAACGCCCUCUCUCUGCACCAGCCAGCCUGCCCCACCUUCCCCCCAGCUGCAGCCAGGGCUGAGGCAGCCGGUGCUGGGGGUCGCGGGAUUCUUCCCCCCGGCAGACAGAGACCCCGGUUUGGGCCCUGAGAGCGAGGCCGCCGUCUGCGCCAUGGGCGGGGCGGGGCCCCAUCUCCAGCACUGGGGGGCAGAGCAAAGUGAAGCCUGCGGAAUCAGCUGCAGCGCCCACCAGAGCCCCCACAGGGCCCCUGAACCCCCAAUCCCAGCAGCAGAGACAGCACCAGCGGCUAGAGUGAACGUGGUGGUGGUGGUGGACGGGAGCUGUAUCCUCCAAUACACCCAUCGCGACUCCCCCUGCCUUUGCCUGCACCGUGGGGACGCCCUGCCGGCCCAUCGGCCUCCCCCCUGCUAUGGGGCCGCUGCCCCCUGCAGCCCCCCCGCCGCCGGGCCCCCCCUCUCCCGCCGGGCCCGGGGCCUGGGGGUCCGGUGCUGCACUGAGUUUUGCCUGGGGGAGGAAGAGGAGCGGGCGGAGUGGAGACCCCGCCACCAGGGGGCGCCCCCCCGCCGCGCCCCGCCGCCCGGCCGGCUGACGCCGGUGCCCCUGCCCCGCAGCGCCACGGGGCCCUGGUUUACAGUGGAGGCGCCAGAGGACGGUGGACCCGGGGCCCAGGUGGCCAGGAUCUGGGACCGGGGGCGCUGCCCCCUGCUGGAGGAGGGCGACCUCGUGGCCAAAGUGAACGGGGCCGACGUGAGGGGCCUCAGGCCCCGGGAGGUGGAGAACGUCCUGCAGCAGCACACGCGGGCCGGGGACGUCAUCCUGCUGGUGGAGCGGAGAGGUCCUGGACUCUGCCGGGCCCCCCUGGAGCCCCUGUUCUCCAUUCCCUCUCCCUGCUGGGAUCCCCCCUGGACGGGGGGGCCCCGGGACUCUUGGGGGGGGUCCCAGCAGGGAUACCCUGGCCGUCACCAGCUUUGUGGGGCCCGAACCCAGGGACGUGCUGCUGUGCCCGGCCCGCUGCCGCGGGGGGGAGACCCAGAGGCCGCGACGCCCCCAGCCCACGCGGGGGCCUGGGGAGCUGGGGGGCAGCAUGGCCCCGGACAGCGCUGGGAGAGCAGCAGACAGGCUGGUGCCCGGGCCCAGCGGGGACCCCCCCAGUGGGAAGCGUUCGGAGGAUGGGGGGCUCCUGGCCCGGUUCUCCCACCGUGAACUCGGGAGCCUCUUUCGCCAGGCGGGGGCCAAGGUCCGGCUGCGAAUUCUGCCCACCCCCAGGGACGCAGCUGCCUCCAGUGACCUGGACGCAGCCGACAUCCAGGUGGAGGAAGGAGCUGGGAGGCCGGGGUGCCGGCUGCCCCAGCCACAG